ACGUAGGGUGCGAGUGUUAAUCGGAAUUACUGGGAGUAAAGCGUGCGCAGGCGGCUAUGCAAGACAGGUGUGAAAUCCCCGGGCAUAACCUGGGAACUGCACUUGUGACUGCAUGGCUAGAGUGCGUCAGAGGGAGGUGGAAUUCCGCGUGUAGCAGUGAAAUGCGUAGAGAUGCGGAGGAACACCGAUGGCGAAGGCAGCCUCCUGGGAUGACACUGACGCUCAUGCACGAAAGCGUGGGGAGCAAACAG
rnacentral:rRNA from 1 species